rnacentral:rRNA from 1 species
AAUAGAUACCCAGGUAGUCCACGCCGUAAACGAUGAGUGCUAAGUGUUAGAGGGUUUCCGCCCUUUAGUGCUGCAGCUAACGCAUUAAGCACUCCGCCUGGGGAGUACGGCCGCAAGGCUGAAACUCAAAGGAAUUGACGGGGGCCCGCACAAGCGGUGGAGCAUGUGGUUUAAUUCGAAGCAACGCGAAGAACCUUACCAGGUCUUGACAUCCUCUGCCAACCCUAGAGAUAGGGCGUUCCCCUUCGGGGGACAGAGUGACAGGUGGUGCAUGGUUGUCGUCAGCUCGUGUCGUGAGAUGUUGGGUUAAGUCCCGCAACGAGCGCAACCCUUGAUCUUAGUUGCCAGCAUUCAGUUGGGCACUCUAAGGUGACUGCCGGUGACAAACCGGAGGAAGGUGGAGAUGACGUCAAAUCAUCAUGCCCCUUAUGACCUGGGCUACACACGUGCUACAAUGGAUGGUACAAAGAGCUGCGAACCCGCGAGGGUAAGCGAAUCUCAUAAAGCCAUUCUCAGUUCGGAUUGU